UACGAAGGGGGCUAGCGUUGUUCGGAUUUACUGGGCGUAAAGCGCACGUAGGCGGAUUGGUCAGUUAGGGGUGAAAUCCCAGAGCUCAACUCUGGAACUGCCUUUGAUACUGGGUAUCUUGAGUAUGGAAGAGGUAAGUGGAAUUGCGAGUGUAGAGGUGAAAUUCGUAGAUAUUCGCAGGAACACCAGUGGCGAAGGCGGCUUACUGGUCCAUAACUGACGCUGAGGUGCGAAAGCGUGGGGAGCAAACAGGG
rnacentral:rRNA from 1 species